AGACUCAAAAGAUGUUGUACAAAAAAGUUAGUUGAAAGAUAUUGUACGUUUUUUUCUUUAAUAAAAUGUACUAUAUAUACAAACGCACUCUUCUGUUUGCAAGUUUGCCUUUCAACUGUAAUAUCUUAUCUAAGCCAACAUCAAUAGUUCAGUUUAUUAAUCCAGUUUCUCAGAAUUUGCCUAGACACUUUAUUUCUGUUUAAGUGAUUCAAAUUUGUGAGGCAUACAAUUUUGCAACCAAUCAAUUAAAUAAUUAAAGGCCCUGAGAUAUUUACUUUUACAGAGGUUGAAAAGGCUUUGAGGAAUUAAACAGAGUGACAUUGAAUUUCCUCUUUUCUGUUUGCUAAUUUCACUGAUUAAUUCAAUCAGCUAUCCCAAGGCAUUUAUUGACCUGUCUAGUUCAACUUUAUUUUUUAAAUUAUAUUUGAGGAACUUAAUAUGUGAGAAUUAUUUUGGAAAAAUAGCAUGUAUAAAAAGAAAAUAACAGAGUAUAGGCAUCAGAGAAUCAGGUUUGAAAAAUGAUUCUUCCAGAUAUCAGCUGUGUGACCUUGUCCCAAGCAUUUAACUCUUCUGUGCUCAGUAGUGAGGGAUUCACAACAAAUAAAAUAAUAAUUGAGAUAUAUAAUGAAUCCUUAUAAGGCCUAUGUGUAAUUUAUUGUGAUAAUUCUUUGAAGUUAUGCUUUCACGUUCAAGGAGCAAAACUUUAGUAAUUUGAAGAGUCAGAAAAAGCUAGAGAGGAUGCCGAAGUACUUGGAAUUUGGAGUCUAAAGAACUGGGAGAAGAGACCUAAGCCAUAGGAAGAUGGAGCAGCAGCAAGGACCAUAAUGGAAACAAGCAUCCAGGCAGUGCGGAAAAGCAGGAACCCAAAGGGGCUGAUUUUCCCUGAGACAUAGACCAUUGCCUCAAGAUUUUAAAGUUUUAAACACUAAUGUGGCGAAUCUGAGCAUGGAACUCUCCUCUGAGGCAUUCAGUGUCUCCUGUUUGGAAGCAUUCUCUGGCUUCUAGAAGUAGCUGAAAUAAACCCUUUUGGAGGAAAGAAUCACACAGGCUCCCGUAGGGAAUAAACCGUGAAAAAUUAUGAACAGUGCAAUUACUGGACCCCACGUACAUUCAACAAGAUGGUUGAAUCUUACCAAUGUAAUAUUGCAAGUACUGGAGGAUUACUUUCAGCAGAGACAGAAAUGAAAUUCUGUAACCAUUUGGGCAGUACUGUAGGAUUGAGCAAAUGAAUAUAAACACAUUGAUGUUGGAGCCACAGUUCUCCCUAUAGAAGAAGUCCCAGUAACUAUCAGAUGAACAAGCCCAGCUGAGCCUGCUGGAGGCUAAGAGAUCAUAUGGAUCAUAGUCCAUUCAUCUUAGCUAAGAGUAUGCUAAACUAAGCAGGUUGCAACUGAUUUCAAAAUAUGAGAGAAAGCCCAGCCAAAAUAAGUGGAGUAAUCUAUCGACACUGCAGCUGUCCACACAUGCAAAAGUGAGCCCAAACAACAGCACAAUAAAUACCCAAUCAACCUGGAGGCUUCUGAUCUAUAAUAAAUGCUGUGGUCUUCAGUC